AGGUGCUCUCAAGAUGGCGGCAAUGAGGGGCUGCAUGUGCGUUUUUCUUUCCUUGAUAAACUGGAAGCUUUGUUUAGGAUUAUUCGAAGAUCAAGUUGGUCUCUUUGACUGGCGUCAAAGCUAUUUGGGCAAAGUGAAAUUUUCAUACUUUGAUGUUUCUACGCAGAGCAGUAAGCGAUUGUUUGUGGGCACGGAAUCUAAUGUUGUAGCAGCCUUAAAUUCAAGAACUGGUUCCAUUAUUUGGCGUCAGGUCUUGGAGGAAAGUGAAGGAGCUUUAGAUACGUUGCUUUAUCGGGAAAAUUUGCUUGUGAGUUCUUCAAGUAACGGAAAAUAUUUGCGAUCGUGGGACACCAGCAACGGAGCACUUUUGUGGGAAUCGCUUGCUAGAUCAGCAUCUUCGGUCAAAGAAGUAACUUCACCCUUUCAUGGAUGGAGCGGUCUAAGAACAGCUUUGGUAGAAGAUAAAGAGAACGACUUGGUUAUUUCACUGGCUUUCAAUGUGGUGAAAGCAUUCUCACUCCAAGAUGGCUCAGUAAAAUGGUCACAUGAUAGUAGCGGACAAACAGCUGACUAUUUCAAUUUUCAGCAUUCCAGUGGGCAUCUGUAUCUCAUAGGGAUUCAAAAUGAUGUGGAUAUUGUAAUUAAAAAGUUAAGUGUCGAAACUGGUGAGGUGAAAGGAGAAAGACGAAUUGGAGCACCAUGGAUCGGCAAUGGUGCUAGCUGUACUUUUGUUAAGAGUUUGAAUUUGGUUUGUGCAGAAAUAUUUAGCCACAGUAUUCAUCUGAUUUCUGUUAGUGAUGAGUCUGCAACUGUGAAAACCUUAUCGUUAACUUCAUUAGGACUAGGAGUUGAAGAUCUGUCUGUUAGUAAACCCAGUUUACAUUCAUUUGGUUCAUUUUCAAACUCUUGGGAUGAACGAUCAGAAUUUCUUUUAAAGCUUUCAAAAACUCAACAACUUGUGUUAAAGUUAAAUAGUGAUAGAAGUCUGAAACUGUUGGCCAAAUUUACUGAACCCUCCCUGCUUAGUGCAGCAGAACUUGGCAAUAAAGCUAUUUUGGCAUCAGUAACACCCAUCACAGAAGAAUCAUCAGAGAUUAAAUGCUAUGAUCUAGAUGACUGGAGACUGUUACAAGACAUGUCACAAAAAGUAGCAAUGGUUGACCGUGGUGAAGCAGCAGAUGCACUGUUGUACUUGUUCAAUAAAAAAGAGAAUGAACUCGGUUACAGAGUUCUCCUUACCACCACAGACCAUGCAGUAUUACUGAUACAGUUUCCUGGACGUAUCAUGUGGUCUCGAGAAGAAGCUCUUGCAGAUAUCACAGCUGUAGAGGUGGUUGAGCUACCAUUUUCACCCUCACAAGCAAAUUUUGAGACACUUCAGGAGGAGUUUGGGGUGCAUCCAAAUGACGACAUUUUGUCCAUGUUUAUCCGCCGAAUCCGUGCCCAAGUUAAACAGUUCCAAGUUCUUGUAAAGCAAUUCCAAGCCUUUGUCAAAGCGCAACAAGAACAUGGCUUCUUUGCUGAGUCAACAGACAAUGAAGAAGAGCAACUGACAAGAGACCAGUUCAACCUGCGCAAAUUGAUAAUAAUUGUAACAUCUUCAGGAAAAAUCUUUGGUCUUAAUUCUGCAGAUGGAAGCAUCAUCUGGAAAUACUUUUUGCCUGCUCUUGCCCCUUUUUCUCAAAAUGAAAAGAAGUACUCUUUACUCUACACACAGCGAACUGUUGCUCACUUUCCUUUGACUGCGCAGUGCAUAGUGCUUGGCAAAUCACGCACAUCUGAAGGAUCACUGAUACAUGUUUUCAACCCAAUUACUGGGAAACCAACUAGUCCUGGACAUCUCAAAGGAAACCAGCUUCCCUACAGGGUGGUACAGUCCAUGCUCCUUCCACAUACCGAUGCUAAACAUACCAAAAUUCUGCUUCUUCUUGACUCUUCUCUGAAUGUCCAUGUGUUUCCACGCACCACAGAUGCAAUUGAGAUUGUGUCUAAAGCAUCCUCAUCAAUCUUCUUCUUCUUGGCUGAUAAAGAGAAGAAUAAUUUGAAAGGAUACAUGCUCCUGUCAGAUACACAGAAAAAUGUCUUUCAUGUGAGAGACAUGUGGAAUGUUAACUUUCCUCAUUCACAGCAGAUCAUUUCUAAUAUUGCAUCAAAGAGUCCUCUGGAACAUGUUCAUUCACAAGGAAAAGUUCUUGGGGACAGAAGGGUGCUUUACAAGUACUUGAAUCCAAAUCUGAUUGCUGUUGGCACUGAAGUUACUCCGCAAUCUAAGCCAGGCAUUUCUAUUUACCUUAUUGAUGCUGUCACAGGACUGAUUAUAUUCCAUACGCGUCACAAGAGUGCCAAGGGUCCUAUCCAUAUGGUGCAUUCUGAAAACUGGUUGGUCUACUGUUUAUACAAUACCAAAUCCCGCAGAUAUGAGCUGACUGUGUUGGAGAUGUAUGAUGGAUACACAGAGAGAAACAGCACUGCUCUGUCGUCAUUCGAGCCUCCCCCCAUGCCAAUUAUACUCCAGCAGUCAUACAUAUUUCCAACAACAGUACGCACUGCCACUGUCACCAUAACAGAGCGAGGAAUCACUCAUAAAACUCUCCUGUUCGGGUUACAAACUGGAUACAUCUGGAGCCUACCCAAGAACUUUUUGGACCCGCGGAGAAAAUUUUUACCCACCCAACAGGACCGUGAAGAAGGAUUACAUCCUUAUAUUCCAGAGCUGGCUGCGAAUCCAUUGGCUUUCAUUAACUACAACCAAACUGUUGCCAGUAUCAACGGUGUGUACACGGCCGGGUCGGGCCUUGAAUCUACUUGUCUGGUGUUUGCAUAUGGACUGGACCUUUACUGGACCAGAAUUACACCAUCCCGGAUGUUUGACGUCCUCAAGGAAGAUUUUGACUACUGGUUCAUUCUUGGAACGCUGGGAAUUUUGGUUCUUGUCACCAUUGUGUCUCAGAGACUUGCUUCGAUUAAAAUGCUGCGACAAGCGUGGCAAUGACGGGAGAACUGAUUAGUAAGAUUAUUAACAAUUCUAGAGGAUUUUCUCAGUAACACUAGUAUGAGUUUUCGCUGGCCAGAGUGUAAUUGGACUUUAAGAACCUUCUUAAAGGCUCGUAACUAAGAUUUUUAUUCUUGCACAUGUAAAGCUUGUUAAUUUCGUCCGGGAUGUUUUGUGCACUUUUUCACCAUUAAUUUUUACUUAAGCUCAUAUACUGAAAUUUUGCCAACGCCAAAAUAUUUCAAUGCGAUCUAGGCAAGAUUAUUUCGUGCAAAGUCGAACAAUAAGCUUAAGACUCAAACUGGACAAAUUUUACGUCAUCAAGACAGAUUAAUCGUUGUUAAUAAAAUUUCAAGUGCCAUCCAAGA
rnacentral:misc_RNA from 1 species